GCCAGUCUCAAGAGUUCCUCAACUAAAUCCCAAAAAUCAAUAUCGUGACUUGGUGGCAAAUCCCCAUUAACCAAAGACCAAAAAAAAACUUCAUUGAAAUUUAUGGGCACAGUGAUUUUUAGGGGAAAAUAAAUCGUUUUUAACACAUCGAAUACAAUAGCUUGUUCAAAAACCAUAAGCAUGAAAAAAGGUUCUGGACCCCAUAAAUUCAUCAAAUA
rnacentral:misc_RNA from 1 species